UGUUUCCCUUUGUGCACUGACUUUCCCCUUGUUAUUGUUCUAUUUCUCAUUCAUACUUCAUAGACUAUAUUUCAUCCACAGGUGAGAGGAAAUGGAAUGAAAGGGAGAAUGACGUCGCUCUCAUAUCAAGGUGAGAGGGAAGAAAAUGGAAUGAAAGGGAGAAUGACGUCGCUCUCAUAUCAAGGUGAGAGGAAAGAAUAUUGAAUAAGUGGAGAGAGAAGGAUAUAAGCACCACAGGAGGCUGCCAUUACAUUGAGCCCAUCCUUCUCAAUCAAGGUGUUACAAGCCACCUGACCUGUCUGCCACCCCUAGGGCAGUAACCAGAGUGGCCCCACUGCCCAUCUCCAGCAUCAAGGAAGGCAUGAUGACAUCAAAGUGUAUGUGGACUCUGAGUACUACCACUAGGAGACACCGAGCCUCCUGGCUUUCAGCAGGAUCCGCCCAGAGCCUAACAAAAUCCCCCCAGACAUGAUGGGCUGUGUGGAAUAGGAGUCAGUGUGUGUGCGAUCUCUGUUCAAUGAAUAACAACUGUGAACAUCUGUACUCAAUGGACAACAUGGUGUCUUAUUAGAACAUUAUCCAAACCUGCUGUCAAAACAUAAAAUCACGUGUUAACUCAAACAACACAAUACACAAGUCACUCGGACAAUGUUCUUUGAACGCUUCAAUUGAUACUUUAUUAUCACAUUUUAUGCUGAACAUUUUGUAUGACAGAUAUCAAAAUGUACAAAUAAACUGUAAAAGUGUGAUUAUAUUGCAUUAAUUUAGUAACAAAAUCAAGAAUAUCUAUGACAAGGAAAAAAGAAGCUGAUAUGAUCAUGAAUUGGCUUAUUCAAUUUACAAAUAUAAGCAUUUCCUACCCUCUAAAAAAAAUAUUUGAUCAAAUAUUGAAUUUGCCCUUUACUACUAAAGCCCAUAGAAACGCAUUGAAUAACAUACUCAUAAAUGUAAAAAUAAAAUAAAGACUUUUCAAAAAGAAA